UUAGCACUAUGAUGAUUACAUAGUUCAACUUAUUAAUUAUGAAGAUCAUUUAUCUUUCGCUCCUAUCUGAUACCUG
rnacentral:snoRNA from 1 species